rnacentral:rRNA from 1 species
UACAGAGGGUGCAAGCGUUAAUCGGAAUUACUGGGCGUAAAGCGCACGUAGGCGGUUUUUUAAGUCAGAUGUGAAAUCCCAGGGCUCAACCCUGGAACUGCCUUCUAAACUGCAAGCCUGGAGGUCAGGAGAGGCGAGUGGAAUACCGAGUGUAGAGGUGAAAUUCGUAGAUAUUCGGUGGAACACCAGUGGCGAAGGCGACUCGCUGGACUGAUACUGACGCUGAGGUGCGAAAGCGUGGGGAGCAAACAGGAUUAGAAACCCGAGUAGU